rnacentral:rRNA from 1 species
CAGUGCUUUUGUGCUGGUGGUGAGAGUGGCGAACGGGUGAGUAACACGUGAGUAACCUGUCCUUCACAUUGGGAUAACUGCUCGAAAGGGUGGCUAAUACUGGAUAUUCUGGCCUUGUCGCAUGGUGGGGUUGGGAAAUGGUUUUUUCUGGUGGGGGUUGGGCUCGCGGCUUAUCAGCUUGUUGGUGGGGUGAUGGCUUACCAAGGCUUUGACGGGUAGCCGGCCUGAGAGGGUGGUCGGUCACACUGGGACUGAGAUACGGCCCAGACUCCUACGGGAGGCAGCAGUGGGGAAUAUUGCACAAUGGACGGAAGUCUGAUGCAGCGACGCCGCGUGGGGGAUGAAGGCCUUCGGGUUGUAAACUUCUUUCGCUUUUGAACAAGGCGCACUUUUGGGUGUGUUGAGUGUAGUGGGUAAAGAAGCGCCGGC